AUGCGGGAGCCCACCAAACCCCUCUCCCCCCGCCCAAGCCGCGGCCGCUGCCGCCUCUGCGGCCUCUGCCUCGGCUCCGCCCUCCUCGCCAUCGUCGUCUCCACCCUCGUCCACCUCCUCUCCCCGCCACCUCAGCCUGCGCCCUCCCCGCGCUUCUCCGUCAUCAUAGACGGCGGCAGCACCGGUACCCGGGCCCACGUGUUCUCCUUGGGGCCCGACGGCCGGCCGGAUCUGGCGCGCUCCGCCGUGAUGCGCGUCUCCCCGGGGCUCUCCUCUUUCGCUGCGGACACGGCGCGCGCGGGGGAGUCGCUGCGGCCGCUGUUGGAAUUUGCCAAGGAGAAGGUAGGGGGCGAGGGGGCCGCCGCAGCAACAGAAGUGCGGCUGAUGGCAACCGCUGGCCUGCGGCUACUCGAGGAGGGCGUCCGGGAGGCGAUACUGGUGUCCUGCAGGAACGCCCUCAGGGCCUCCGGGUUCCGGUUCGAGGACUCCUGGGCCAAGGUGAUCCCAGGUUCUGAUGAAGGCAUCUAUGCUUGGAUUGCGGCAAACUAUGCUCUGGGCACACUUGGAGGGGAUCCUCACAAAACAAUUGGAAUAAUUGAACUCGGGGGUGCUUCAGCUCAGUUGACGUUUGUUUCCGACGAAGUACUUCCUCUGGAACUAUCAACUAAUUUUACUUUUGGGGAAACAACAUACACUCUCUAUAGCAACAGCUUUCUAAACUUUGGACAAAAUGCAGCACAAGACUCAUACCAUCAAAUACUGAAGUCAAGAGGAUCUUCCAAAAACGGUACACUUGUUGAUCCUUGUGCCCCUAAAGGAUAUUCUCACAAAAGGAAAGUAUUGGCGAGAACAAGCGGUGCAUCAAGAUCAAAUUUAGAGAAUCAAUAUGUUGAUAAUGGAAGCGGAAACUAUAAAAAAUGUAGAUCUUCUUCAAUGAUAAUGAUGCAAGAAGGAAAGGAAAAGUGCAAGUAUCAGCAAUGUCACCUAGGAUCUAAUUUCGUCCCUGAGCUGCUUGGGCAUUUCCUAGCAACUGAAAAUUUCUAUUUUACAUCCAAGUUCUUUGGACUAGACCGGUCUUCAUCACUGUCUGAUUUUGUGGUUGCUGGAGAGCAACUUUGCAACAAGGACUUGUCCACGCUGAGACAAAAGUAUCUCAAUCAUUCAGAUGAAGAUUUCUCACGGUAUUGCUUCUCGUCGGCAUACAUUGUGGCUCUACUGCACGACAGCCUUGGUGUGCCAUUGGAUGACAAGAGGAUCGAGUAUUCAAAUCAGAUCGGCGACACUCAUAUUGAGUGGGCCCUAGGAGCUUUCAUUGCAAAUACAAAAGAUAGGAUUCUAGGGGCAUCGGGGGCUGCGGCAACACAGGCACCUAAGCAUAGACCACUGCUCGCCGUGCUGGGAGCGUUUCUUGCUUGCGGAGUAUUUUUGGGGUUGAGAUGGAGGAAGCCCAAGACAAAGAUUAUAUAUGAUUUAGAGAAAGGCCGAUACAUUAUGACACGCAUCAGCUGA
rnacentral:rRNA from 1 species